rnacentral:rRNA from 1 species
CCUACGGGUGGCAGCAGUGAGGAAUAUUGGUCAAUGGACGAGAGUCUGAACCAGCCAAGUAGCGUGAAGGAUGACUGCCCUAUGGGUUGUAAACUUCUUUUAUAUGGGAAUAAAAUGUUCCACGUGUGGGAUUCUGUAUGUACCAUAUGAAUAAGGCUCGGCUAAAUCCGUGCCAGCAGCCGCGGGAAUACGGAGGAUACGAGCGUUAUCCGGAGUUAUUGGGUGUAAAGGGAGCGUAGGUGGAUUGUUAAGUCAGUUGUUAAAGUUUGCGGCUCAACCGUAAAAUUGCAGUUGAAACUGGCAGUCUUGAGUACAGUAGAGGUGGGCGGAAUUCGUGGUGUAGCGGUGAAAUGCUUAGAUAUCACGAAGAACUCCGAUUGCGAAGGCAGUUCACUGGACUGCAACUGACACUGAGGCUCGAAAGUGUGGGUAUCAAACAGGAUUAGAUACCCUUGUAGUC